rnacentral:rRNA from 1 species
GGAGGGCGCAAGCGUUGUUCGGAAUUACUGGGCGUAAAGCGCGUGUAGGCGGCCAGGUAAGUCGGAUGUGAAAGCCCGGGGCCCAACCCCGGAACUGCACCCGAUACUGCCCGGCUGGAGUCCCGGAGAGGAUGGCGGAAUUUCCGGUGUAGAGGUGAAAUUCGUAGAUAUCGGAAGGAACACCAGUGGCGAAGGCGGCCAUCUGGACGGUGACUGACGCUGAGACGCGAAAGCGUGGGGAGCAAACAGGAUUAGAUACCCUGGUAGUCCACGCCGUAAACGUUGGGUGCUAGACGUCGGGGGUAUUGACCCCUCCGGUGUCGAAGCUAACGCAUUAAGCACCCCGCCUGGGGAGUACGGCCGCAAGGCUAAA